GGCCUAAAAGCCACAGAUGCUCGGUGCUCUCACGCACGCAAGGCUGCCCUCAAACCCUCAGUAGAGAGAAGAUAAACACUGUCGGAGCAAAGUGACUCCACAUAGUUCCCGAAGCUCCCCCUUCUUGGUCCUGGGAAGCUGUUUGCAGGAUGUUCUUCGCUCCUUUGAACACGCUGAAAAUACAGAUUCGUGAUCACCUGGUACUUGUGAAUCCACCACAUCUUCCUAGGCGCUGUGGCGCGCGCUGAUGCAUCUGAGGCAGGUUACGCUUUGCCAAGGCCUCCUCCUUAGAGACCGCCCACUCCCACUUAGGAAGAGAGAUAGAUGCCUGGCAUUAGACAGGGAGCAAACGGAGUUUAACUUGUUUUUCAUGCACGGGGGCUCAAUGGGGAAACUCCAUUUGGAAUUGUCCACAGCCCCUAGAAAUGUCUAGAAAUCCCAUCCUCUUGGAGAAGGGGAGGACAGGACACAGAAAUCUUGUUUUAAUAGGCAGACACUAAGGGACCCUUGUCACUCAGCCUCCCUUAGGGAGGACUUAGGAAAUAAGGCACUCUGACUGCUAAAUGGUAGGAGGUGUGUGGGUCUGAGCUCAAGAGCAUGAACCCCUUCCUGCGCUACGGAAACCCUGCUGGCAUUUGGACACAUCACCCUGAUUAACAUCCAACACCAUUGGUCUUAGUCAUUGCUUUGUUGAUGUUGUUUGUUUUUUUUGGGAGGGUGGGGGUCGGGGGAUGUUCAUAGAAAAUAACAGAUGCUACCAUUUUUCCAUCCAGCAUGUGCACUUUCUGUUGGAUAUUAGCUAGUACAAGUGAGCUUCCCAGUGUUCAGUCUGAAAAUUCUAAAGCCCUUUUAAGUCUGAAGAAAGGAAACAGACAAUGUGGCUUGGACCCUAGAACGAAUGGCUUUGGCUUUUCUUCUCGGUGAUACAUUCAUUAGUAAACAACAUUUGGAAGAACAGGAAAAUAUUCUGCUGACAGAAUUUGAUCACUUGGUCAAAGAAAACACAGAAAAACAAAACAAAACAAAUGUUUCAGUAGUGUCUAAAAAUUGUUCAAAGGGCCCUAAUAAAUGCGAAUUUAUUUCUUGAUAUAAUAGCAUAAAGUUAACUAUGCUGCAUAGUACUUCAGUAAUUAUUUGCUUAAAAAAAAUUUUUUUUGACCUGAAGUCUCUCUCUGUCAGCAAGACUGUUUCAUGGUGGCAAAUACAUCUGUUUGAGUCAGAUAGGUUCCAGCUUUCAUAUUUACGAAAAGUGUUUACAAGGAGGAUUUAUUAAAUGGGGUUAUCCAGAAGGAGGAGGGAGGACUUUGAAAUUUUUAAAAUUCUCAUUAUUUUUCUCAUUUCCAAAGCACUGUGAAAAAAAUUGUGAAAAUUAAUAAAUUCAAUGAAACAGAGGUAAAAGUCCAACAGCAGCUCCCUUUCCACCUGGUCGAGCGCUACAGUAACAUGAACGCUGUACAGUUCUCCCUGAAAAGGGUCCGAAUCAUAUGCACUGUUUUGAAAACCACUCCUCUGUUGGAAAUGAAAUCUUACUUUGUUUCCAAGUCAACAACAGCCAACUUUUUACCGAGUCGAUGAUUGCAAGGUGAGGACCGUGGUCCAGGUGAGUGUCGACCAUUUCCCAAAGCAUGAGCCAUGUGCAACCCUUUAUUUUAAAUAAUGUCACUAUGAAUUAGCUCUUAUUUACUCAUUUAGUUAGUUAGUUAGUUAGUUUACCUUUUCCUUGAGAUGUGUGCUUGAUUCAUGACCUGCCCGAAAGGCAGAGAGGUUAGGGGAGGGUUGCGUGUAAUAUGUUGGUUGGUUCCCUCCUGUUCUUCCUCCUCUGUCUUUUGCACAUCAAGCACUGAGAGGUCCUCAGCCCCUACAGCACUAAUGAAUGCCUCACCGCUCCUGGUCGGCCUUACUACACGUGGGAAGGGGGUUCUAGAGACCUGCUGAGAUGGUCAGAGCAUCCCCGGGAGGGGGUGAGGGAUGAAAAAGAGGUGGGAUUUCAGUCCUAGGUCCUCCAGGCAGAGAAAUAAAUCAGCAUAGCUGGUCUCUUGGAAGGAGUGGUGGGGAAAGACAGGUCAUCACCUACACACACACACACACACACACACACACACACACACACACACACACACACACACUCUCGAGGUCCCCCAUCAUUGCAUGGCCAGCACAAAGGUUUUAGGGUGGCGCUGGGUGUCAGCAGGAGCUUCCUGGUUUCACAGAGGAGUGCUUGUCUAACACUAGGCUGAGUGACACUCUUUUCCUGCAGUCUGCUGGGGCCACAGAGGAACAAAGGAAGCCAACUAUUAUAUUUUAUUUUUUAAUUUUUUUUAGUGGACAACAAUCCUGUCAGCACCAUAGAAAAGGAAAGGGGCGAAGAGGAGCCAAAGUGGGAGGGAGGUCGGAGGUCACAGAAUGCUGUUCCUGCGGCAUCUGUCUUAAAAGGGUGUCUAAAAGGUGUCUUAAGGUGGUCUCUAUGGGAAUACAGGAUAGAAGAAUGCGGGAGGACUCGUUUCGCUUGUUACAGUUUAAGCAAAUCUCUAGCCAAAUGUUAACAACUCAGCUAUUCUGGGGAUGGGGGUGAGUCAGGAAACUGGCACCCAAUCUUCCCCCUUCUCAACAUUUGGGGAAAAUAAAGGAUUAGGUAAAACUCUUUUCGUUCCUCUCAUUCUCCACCGUGAGCAGAGGUUCACAGAACCGGUGAAACCGUAUUUAACUGGAGACAAGUCAAUCCAGAAGGCAUUUGCUCACACAGCAACCUUCCCACUAGAAAGUGAACCUUCCCGCUAGAAAAAAAAAGUGCUAACUGUUUUUAUUUCAUUCUUUCUUAGUUGGACCCCUCACCUGCUGCCUGCAGUUCUUCUAAAGAAUGGCUGUGCAGAAUACGACUUAAAGUUUGAGCAAAGUGGGGUGUCUCUAAAUUCAAAGAUUCCACAGAGAGGAGGUCCUAGCCCAUAAAGAAUAAUCACAAGCUGGGAGUAGGGGGUGUGUGCCUUUCAUCCUAAUACCCAAGAGGCAGGCAUAGGUGGAUCUCUGUGAUUUUGAGUCCAGUUGGGUCGAUAUAGUGAGUUCAAGGCCAGCCAGGGCUACAUACUAAGAGACCAUUGUCUCAAAAGAUAGAAAAAGAAAAGAAAAGAAGAGAAGAGAAAAGGAAAGGAAGGGAAGGGAAGGAAAAGGAAAGGAAAGGAAAGGAAAGGAAAGGAAAGGAAAGGAAAGGAAAGGAAAGGAAAGGAAAGGAAAGGAAAGGAAGUCAUAAUUUUCUUGAACCAAAGAAGUGAUCACAUUUGCUAGUGAUGGAUUGGAAACCAUGACGAGGUGAGAGUGGGUGGGAUCUAUCACCUAAUGGAGUUAUUUCCUUGUAUGAUGUGGUUUGUAAGAAGUGUCUGCCUCUUCCUGGAAUUCAAGCCUUUUAGGAAACAGAUGUAAACAAAUUUCCAUCCUGGUAAAGGCCUUUGUGAGCCCUCCUUGUUAUUCAAGAUCCCGGGGCUCUUCCCUAUGCUCCAGUUUCAGCGUUUGGAACCACUGAGGAGUCUGUGACAGACAACGGAGGAAUGUGAAGGGAAGGUUAAUACCCUUGUGCCUGACAGACUUUCCUUAGCAGAGCUGUGGAGUGUGACAAUGGUGUUUGUGUCCAAACCAUCAAACGCCAUUAUCACACUAAAUAGCUACUGCUAGGCAAUCCGUCCACUCCACGCGUGACUUGACGUCUGUUCUCUCCGAGCAAGAAGUUCUGUCUUGUGCUAGAGUUCUCCAUUGUGUGUAAUGUAUGAAUAAAAUCUGGUCCUCUUGUGCUUAUAACUGUACAUCUGACUGACGCCUUCCCCUCGUGUGCUAUUGUGAAAUGAAUAAUGCUAUAAAGGAAAAGACCAGUAAAAUCCAACCUCUCCUAUGGGACCCUCCCAACACUGACUACCCUGACACCCAAUUUAUUUCCAGCACUAGGCCCACUCUCGAUUUUGCUCUGAACGCUAGCGAGGCAUUAUUUCCAUUCACUGUUGACACUGCCUCUGUGGAGUUAGCCCUGAAUCCAGCAGGUGGAUGGCACAGUCCCUAAGACCCAACUUCAGAUGUCCAUUGAAUGUCCUAAGUUGCUUUCCUUGUGUUUCUGACUCACCAGCUAUAAACUGGGGUUUCCACACCUGUGUUCUCAGGUCCAAUUCUCUUGCUUGAGUGGGUCUAAAAAUUCAGGAAAACGUGUUGGCCAGCUUAUUCCAAAGGAUAAUUUAAAGGCAGAGUGGAGAUAUGUUCUCCGGGCACUGCUGCAUAUUUUUGGCUACCUAGAAGCUCUACAAAGCUGUCCUUCAUAGAUUUUAUGGGUACCCCUUGGCAUGGGUUUGAUUCAGUAGACAUGAAAAUGUGCUGGCGACCCCACAAGCCUCAUGGACAGAUAAGGAGGUGAUGUACAAAGUGAAGAAUCAAACUUGAGUCAGCAGCAUCUUGGCAGAUAUUGGUUCAAAAACUUCCAGAGUCUGAUCUUAAUGGUUGAAUUUUCUUAUAUAGUUAAGCAUAGCAAAACUUUGGGGGAAAGGACACCACAUGACAAUUAUCACCACAACGCUUUAGGCAUAGCUACAUAGAGUCCCCCUAGCUGAGUAGCAAAGCACCUGUGACCUUUACAGUGAGAAUGAAUUCUAUUGGCUGAUAAGCAGAGCUCAAAUCUAGAGCCCAAUGAGAAAGGAUUGGUUUAAGUGUAAGAAUAGUCUCUAAUGGUGGGGGAUGCAAAGUUCUCAUCACUGAGAGAUAACGCUCAGCAUCAGGACCUAAACAAUGACCAGGCUAUUGGGGGACUCGUGUGGAGGCUAACUCCUAGUGGAAUAGCAAAGGGUCACCAGCAGGUUGCUUGACCAUUUCCAGUCUGGCUUUCCAGACGUCAUUCAUUUCCCUCUGUUGGAAAAAAAAAAAAAAAAAACAGGCUUGCGGGACUGAUCCAGUGUCUCCAAUACUUCCUCUAAGCAUGCUUCUUACAGAAAUGUAGUGGGACAAAAGGGACAAUCGAGGUCUAAUGAUUAGGGGGCGUGCAAGCAAUGUUAUCAAUUCAGAUGUUUCGUUCUUUGUAGUCUUAGGGGAGGAACCCCAUAGAAUGAGGAGAAAUGAUUAUCAGACAAGGUAGAUGGGAAUUAUGAGCCAGGAACCAUGGAUGAAAAUAUAUGUGCAUAUACAUACAUACAUACAUACAUACAUACAUACAUACACAUGUAUACACACACAUACACAAAAUUAAAUCAUAAUGAUGGUAAAUUUCCUUAUUUUCCCUCAUUCAUUAAAAUUAAAAAAAAAAAAGUCUCCCAGAGUACCCAGCACAAGGCUAGUCAUCAUUCCAUUGAGUUGAUGUUAGGAAAAUGUAGAUGCAAAAACAACUAAAACUAAGUGUCUUAGUUAGACUCCUAUUGCUGUGAUAAACACCAUCACCAAAAGCAACAUAGGAAGGAAAGGAUCUAUUUGGCUUAUGUGUGCUGAUUGCAGUUUAUCUCGAGGGAAACCACAGUAGGAACUCAAGCAGGGCAGGAAUCUGAAGGCAAGAGCUGUGAUGAAGUCCAUGGAAGAGUGCUGCCUGCUGGCUUGCCCCUCCUGGCUUGCUCAGCUUACUUUCUGAUACACUCCAGAAUCACCUACCCAGGGAUGACACCCUACUCAGUGCUCUGAGCCCUUCCCAUCAAUCAUCAACCAAGAAAACGACCCACAGGCUUGCCUAUAGGCCAACCUGAUAAAGGCAUUUUCUCAGCUGAGGUUCUCUCCUCUCAGAUGACUAUAGCUUGUGUCAAGUUUACAAAGAAGCAAACACGUGAGGUUAGUCUAGUCUAUGAAAACCACAGGCUGAUAGGUGAUAAAUUAGGGCAUAGAUGUCCUCUUCUUUCUAUCAUUAAAAAAACAAAAACCUGUAUGUGGUUUAAUUGACCUUCCAGACAUUCUAGGACAUGUCUGAUUUUUACUGUCUUGGCCAAUUAUCAGGUUGAUUACUGGAUUCAUAUGUUAGAUCCAUCUUAUGUUUCACAAGUUAGGACUGGAAACCCACAGAUAAACUGUAUGUAAGUUGCCAUAGCAAAUUUGAAUAAUUUGAAGCCUUUCAAGUUCUGGGAUAAUGGUAUGGAUGAAUGGUCUGGUUUCAAAUACAUUCUCUGAGAGGCAUCUUCUGUAAAAACAAAAGUUCUGUUGUGGGCUUAAGUUCUCAUGUGUGACUUACCUGAAUGAACUAGUAUACGUUUAUACAAGUUAACAGGGUCAGAUCAACCAUCAGAAACAAAUGGAUCCAUCCAUCAGCCAGCACUUAUCAAAUGUGUACAGAGUGGCUUCCCUAUGGCUUGUACAGUCCUAGGCCCUGGAGGGUACUUUUAAAUAAAAUGUGCCUGACAUUAUUCCUAGGAAUGAGCAAUCACUGGCUUGCAUUCUACGGGUGCACAGUCCUCAUGGCCCCAGUUGCACUUAAUAAGGAGCCCAGUGAGAAAACUUUGCCAAUGGAUUAUUCUCAGUUCCUUGCUAGAGAGCACCCUAGAAGUACAUUCCACACAUCUAAGAUGACACAAAGUACAUUUCUACCUAUUCAGUGUGUUUCCCCCAACACCUUCUCUCCUGGCAAGUCAACUGUCAAGAGGAGAUCAAAUACCCCUGAAAGAAUGAUAUCCUGGCAUUCUUCCUUGUGUGUCUUUUUAUGGAGCUAGCAUUGCCUGAGCAAGUUCUGAGAGUGACCUUUGCCGUUAUAGGAGUCGCUCCCAUGCACAUGGUUUCCUUGGACCUUUGCAACACAGGGCAAAGACAGCACAGGUUUGGGUGGGCCCCCUCCUGUAGACAGCAAACUGAGAAUGGUGCUUCUGGUGUCAUCUGCUCGUUCAAACACAAUGCAUGAUGGAUCUUACAAACGGAGAGUCCUGCUCUUCCUUUGUAGCCUUCCUUGAUACGGUUCUUCCACAAAACCCUGUGCUUCACGGCUGAGUCCAUGUUGAAACUGAAUUAAACAUACUCCUGGUUGAUUAGCAUCCUCAGCCCCUCUGUAGGUCUGCCUCUGGUAAACGCUGAAGGAAAACCCAACAGAAGGAUGGGUGUGCAACAGUCCCCAUGAAGGUUCACAGUGCAGAGAAAGCCGGAUGUUCCAGAACAUUCUCAUUGGAAAAGACGAAAGAAAAGACAUGUUUGUGGCAGUUAACGUGCCCAGACAUGGAGCAGCCAUCCUGGAGACCUCCUCAACUGUGAUGGGUAGCACUGAAAGACACAAAGUCUUCUAGCUCAAAUUAUUCUUAGAUUUGAGGGCAAUGUUCGUUCUGUUCCACCAUGCUGGGACCUUAAUUAGAUGGAAUUAACCCUGGAACAUGAAGAAGGGCUUUCUGUGUUCUUUUCUACUACUGUGGCUCAUUAAAUGGCGUAUUAUGA
rnacentral:lncRNA from 1 species